UAGGGAAUCUUCGGCAAUGGGGGGAACCCUGACCGAGCAACGCCGCGUGAGUGAAGAAGGUUUUCGGAUCGUAAAGCUCUGUUGUUAAGGAAGAACGAGUGUGAGAAUGGAAAGUUCAUGCUGUGACGGUACUUAACCAGAAAGGGACGGCUAACUACGUGCCAGCAGCCGCGGUAAUACGUAGGGGGCUAGCGUUGUCCGGAAUCACUGGGCGUAAAGGGUUCGCAGGCGGAAUAACAAGUCAGAUGUGAAAGGCAUGGGCUCAACCCAUGUAAGCAUUUGAAACUGUAAUUCUUGAGAAGUGGUGAGGUAAGUGGAAUUCCUAGUGUAGCGGUGAAAUGCGUAGAUAUUAGGAGGAAUACCUGUGGCGAAGGCGACUUACUGGACACAAAUCUGACGCUGAGGAACGAAAGCGUGGGUAGCAAACAGG
rnacentral:rRNA from 1 species